UUUGUUAGGGCUUUCUCUCUUCCCCCUCCCUCUCCCCCACCAGCUGAAACAUUUUCUUCUGGGGAGAAAAAAAAAAAAAGGAUCGAAGACGUCGGGAUGGUUGCAUUCUCCCGAGCACCGGGUGUCACACACGCGCGCACGCACGCAGGGCUGUGUUUGUUCAGCGCGUCCACACAAACAACCCCUGAAUGAAGGGGUGUGUGUGUGUGUGGAAAAGCCAAGCCAGGAUUUUCUUGGUUUCCUUCAUCCUCCCUCCUUUUUUUUUUUUUUUAAUGAAACUCCCCGGAGCUUCUUUACAUCUACUCUCCGGCCUGCAAAGUCACCCAUCAAGUACCUUCAAGGACUCAACCACCAGCCUCAAACAUGAUGAUGUCUCAGGAUGCUGAAGAUGAAAGCAAGGUUGCACACCCGCCGGCCGACAACGGUGUCCACACACCAUCUGAGAAGCUCCAUUUUCCCAUACGUCUGUCAGCACUUGGGUGAUCAAGCAAGAGCCCUCAACAGGAAUUCCAUCUGGGACAACAACACCAUAGUUACCUGUGUGGACAAGACAAUGGCAUUUUAAAGCAUGUAUUUAAAAUGUAUUGGCAGUCUUCCAAUAUCUCAGGGGCUGCCCCAAAGAAGAGGGAGUCAAGCUAUUCUCCAAAGCCCCUGAAGGCAGGACAAGAAGCAACAGAUGGAAAAUAAUCAAGGAGAGAAGCAACC